ACCGCAGAACUGAGCAAGACCAAAGAGGUGGACCUGCGGGCCUAUUGCGAUCAGAUGUGCCCAGAUGGGAUUAGCUUGUUGGUUAGGUAACGGCUCACCAAGGCGACGAUCCCUAGCUGGUCUGAGAGGAUGACCAGCCACACUGGAACUGAGACACGGUCCAGACUCCUACGGGAGGCAGCAGUGGGGAAUAUUGCACAAUGGGCGCAAGCCUGAUGCAGCCAUGCCGCGUGUAUGAAGAAGGCCUUCGGGUUGUAAAGUACUUUCAGCGGGGAGGAAGGUGUUGUGGUUAAUAACCGCAGCAAUUGACGUUACCCGCAGAAGAAGCACCGGCUAACUCCGUGCCAGCAGCCGCGGUAAUACGGCGGGUGCAAGCGUUACUCGGAAUUACUGGGCGUAAAGCGCACGCAGGCGGUCUGUCAAGUCGGAUGUGAAAUCCCCGGGCUCAACCUGGGAACUGCAUUCGAAACUGGCAGGCUUGAGUCUUGUAGAGGGGGGUAGAAUUCCAGGUGUAGCGGUGAAAGGCGUAGAGAUCUGGAGGAAUACCGGUGGCGAAGGCGGCCCCCUGGACAAAGACUGACGCUCAGGUGCGAAAGCGUGGGGAGCAAACAGGAUUAGAUACCCUGGUAGUCCACGCCGUAAACGAUGUCUACUUGGAGGUUGUGCCCUUGAGGCGUGGCUUCCGGAGCUAACGCGUUAAGUAGACGGCCUGGGGAGUACGGCCGCAAGGUUAAAACUCAAAUGAAUUGACGGGGGCCCGCACAAGCGGUGGAGCAUGUGGUUUAAUUCGAUGCAACGCGAAGAACCUUACCUGGUCUUGACAUCCACAGAAGAAUCCAGAGAUGGAUUUGUGCCUUCGGGAACUGUGAGACAGGUGCUGCAUGGCUGUCGUCAGCUCGUGUUGUGAAAUGUUGGGUUAAGUCCCGCAACG
rnacentral:rRNA from 1 species